GACGAACGCUGGCGGCGUGCCUAACACAUGCAAGUCGAACGGAAAGGCCCUGCUUUUUUGGGGUGCUCGAGUGGCGAACGGGUGAGUAACACGUGAGUUACCUGCCCUUGACUGUGGGAUAACUUCAGGAAACUGGGGCUAAUACCGGAUAGGAGCUCCUGCUGCAUGGUGGGGGUUGGAAAGUUUCGGCGGUUGGGGAUGGACUCGCGGCUUAUCAGCUUGUUGGUGGGGUAGUGGCUUACCAAGGCCUUGACGGGUAGCCGGCCUGAGAGGGUGACCGGCCACAUUAGGACUGAGAUACGGCCCAGCCUCCAACGGGAGGCAGCGGUGGGGAAUAUUGCACAAUGGGCGGGAGCCUGAUGCAACAACGCCGCGUGCGGGAUGACAGCCUUCGGGUUGUAAACCGCUUUCGCCUGUGACGAAGCGUGAGUGACGGUAAUGGGUAAAGAAGCACCGGCUAACUACGUG
rnacentral:rRNA from 1 species